rnacentral:rRNA from 1 species
GGUUAAGCGACUAAGCGUACACGGUGGAUGCCCUGGCAGUCAGAGGCGAUGAAGGACGUGCUAAUCUGCGAUAAGCGUCGGUAAGGUGAUAUGAACCGUUAUAACCGGCGAUUUCCGAAUGGGGAAACCCAGUGUGAUUCGUCACACUAUCAUUAACUGAAUCCAUAGGUUAAUGAGGCGAACCGGGGGAACUGAAACAUCUAAGUACCCCGAGGAAAAGAAAUCAACCGAGAUUCCCCCAGUAGCGGCGAGCGAACGGGGAGGAGCCCAGAGCCUGAAUCAGUGUGUGUGUUAGUGGAAGCGUCUGGAAAGGCGCGCGAUACAGGGUGACAGCCCCGUACACAAAAAUGCACAUGCUGUGAGCUCGAUGAGUAGGGCGGGACACGUGGUAUCCUGUCUGAAUAUGGGGGGACCAUCCUCCAAGGCUAAAUACUCCUGACUGACCGAUAGUGAACCAGUACCGUGAGGGAAAGGCGAAAAGAACCCCGGCGAGGGGAGUGAAAAAGAACCUGAAACCGUGUACGUACAAGCAGUGGGAGCACAGAGCAAUCUGUGUGACUGCGUACCUUUUGUAUAAUGGGUCAGCGACUUAUAUUCUGUAGCAAGGUUAACCGAAUAGGGGAGCCGAAGGGAAACCGAGUCUUAACUGGGCGUUAAGUUGCAGGGUAUAGACCCGAAACCCGGUGAUCUAGCCAUGGGCAGGUUGAAGGUUGGGUAACACUAACUGGAGGACCGAACCGACUAAUGUUGAAAAAUUAGCGGAUGACUUGUGGCUGGGGGUGAAAGGCCAAUCAAACCGGGAGAUAGCUGGUUCUCCCCGAAAGCUAUUUAGGUAGCGCCUCGUGAAUUCAUCUCCGGGGGUAGAGCACUGUUUCGGCAAGGGGGUCAUCCCGACUUACCAACCCGAUGCAAACUGCGAAUACCGGAGAAUGUUAUCACGGGAGACACACGGCGGGUGCUAACGUCCGUCGUGAAGAGGGAAACAACCCAGACCGCCAGCUAAGGUCCCAAAGUCAUGGUUAAGUGGGAAACGAUGUGGGAAGGCCCAGACAGCCAGGAUGUUGGCUUAGAAGCAGCCAUCAUUUAAAGAAAGCGUAAUAGCUCACUGGUCGAGUCGGCCUGCGCGGAAGAUGUAACGGGGCUAAACCAUGCACCGAAGCUGCGGCAGCGACACUAUGUGUUGUUGGGUAGGGGAGCGUUCUGUAAGCCUGCGAAGGUGUGCUGUGAGGCAUGCUGGAGGUAUCAGAAGUGCGAAUGCUGACAUAAGUAACGAUAAAGCGGGUGAAAAGCCCGCUCGCCGGAAGACCAAGGGUUCCUGUCCAACGUUAAUCGGGGCAGGGUGAGUCGACCCCUAAGGCGAGGCCGAAAGGCGUAGUCGAUGGGAAACAGGUUAAUAUUCCUGUACUUGGUGUUACUGCGAAGGGGGGACGGAGAAGGCUAUGUUGGCCGGGCGACGGUUGUCCCGGUUUAAGCGUGUAGGCUGGUUUUCCAGGCAAAUCCGGAAAAUCAAGGCUGAGGCGUGAUGACGAGGCACUACGGUGCUGAAGCAACAAAUGCCCUGCUUCCAGGAAAAGCCUCUAAGCAUCAGGUAACAUCAAAUCGUACCCCAAACCGACACAGGUGGUCAGGUAGAGAAUACCAAGGCGCUUGAGAGAACUCGGGUGAAGGAACUAGGCAAAAUGGUGCCGUAACUUCGGGAGAAGGCACGCUGAUAUGUAGGUGAAGCGACUUGCUCGUGGAGCUGAAAUCAGUCGAAGAUACCAGCUGGCUGCAACUGUUUAUUAAAAACACAGCACUGUGCAAACACGAAAGUGGACGUAUACGGUGUGACGCCUGCCCGGUGCCGGAAGGUUAAUUGAUGGGGUCAGCGCAAGCGAAGCUCUUGAUCGAAGCCCCGGUAAACGGCGGCCGUAACUAUAACGGUCCUAAGGUAGCGAAAUUCCUUGUCGGGUAAGUUCCGACCUGCACGAAUGGCGUAAUGAUGGCCAGGCUGUCUCCACCCGAGACUCAGUGAAAUUGAACUCGCUGUGAAGAUGCAGUGUACCCGCGGCAAGACGGAAAGACCCCGUGAACCUUUACUAUAGCUUGACACUGAACAUUGAGCCUUGAUGUGUAGGAUAGGUGGGAGGCUUUGAAGUGUGGACGCCAGUCUGCAUGGAGCCGACCUUGAAAUACCACCCUUUAAUGUUUGAUGUUCUAACGUUGACCCGUAAUCCGGGUUGCGGACAGUGUCUGGUGGGUAGUUUGACUGGGGCGGUCUCCUCCUAAAGAGUAACGGAGGAGCACGAAGGUUGGCUAAUCCUGGUCGGACAUCAGGAGGUUAGUGCAAUGGCAUAAGCCAGCUUGACUGCGAGCGUGACGGCGCGAGCAGGUGCGAAAGCAGGUCAUAGUGAUCCGGUGGUUCUGAAUGGAAGGGCCAUCGCUCAACGGAUAAAAGGUACUCCGGGGAUAACAGGCUGAUACCGCCCAAGAGUUCAUAUCGACGGCGGUGUUUGGCACCUCGAUGUCGGCUCAUCACAUCCUGGGGCUGAAGUAGGUCCCAAGGGUAUGGCUGUUCGCCAUUUAAAGUGGUACGCGAGCUGGGUUUAGAACGUCGUGAGACAGUUCGGUCCCUAUCUGCCGUGGGCGCUGGAGAACUGAGGGGGGCUGCUCCUAGUACGAGAGGACCGGAGUGGACGCAUCACUGGUGUUCGGGUUGUCAUGCCAAUGGCACUGCCCGGUAGCUAAAUGCGGAAGAGAUAAGUGCUGAAAGCAUCUAAGCACGAAACUUGCCCCGAGAUGAGUUCUCCCUGACUCCUUGAGAGUCCUGAAGGAACGUUGAAGACGACGACGUUGAUAGGCCGGGUGUGUAAGCGCAGCGAUGCGUUGAGCUAACCGGUACUAAUGAACCGUGAGGCUUAACCUU